rnacentral:rRNA from 1 species
GACGAACGCUGGCGGCGUGCUUAACACAUGCAAGUCGAACGGAAAGGCCCUGCUUUUGUGGGGUGCUCGAGUGGCGAACGGGUGAGUAACACGUGAGUAACCUGCCCCUGACUUUGGGAUAACUUCAGGAAACUGGGGCUAAUACCGGAUAGGAGCUCCUGCUGCAUGGUGGGGGUUGGAAAGUUUCGGCGGUUGGGGAUGGACUCGCGGCUUAUCAGCUUGUUGGUGGGGUAGUGGCUUACCAAGGCUUUGACGGGUAGCCGGCCUGAGAGGGUGACCGGCCACAUUGGGACUGAGAUACGGCCCAGACUCCUACGGGAGGCAGCAGUGGGGAAUAUUGCACAAUGGGCGGAAGCCUGACGCAGCAACGCCGCGUGCGGGAUGACGGCCUUCGGGUUGUAAACCGCUUUCGCCUGUGACGAAGCGUGAGUGACGGUAAUGGGUAAAGAAGCACCGGCUAACUACGUG